rnacentral:rRNA from 1 species
UGGGGAAUUUUGGACAAUGGGCGCAAGCCUGAUCCAGCCAUGCCGCGUGCGGGAAGAAGGCCUUCGGGUUGUAAACCGCUUUUGUCAGGGAAGAAAUCCUUUGAGCUAAUACCUCGGGGGGAUGACGGUACCUGAAGAAUAAGCACCGGCUAACUACGUGCCAGCAGCCGCGGUAAUACGUAGGGUGCGAGCGUUAAUCGGGAUUACUGGGCGUAAAGCGUGCGCAGGCGGUUUUGUAAGACAGAGGUGAAAUCCCCGGGCUCAACCUGGGAACUGCAUUUGUGACUGCAUAGCUGGAGUGCGGCAGAGGGGGAUGGAAUUCCGCGUGUAGCAGUGAAAUGCGUAGAUAUGCGGAGGAACACCGAUGGCGAAGGCAAUCCCCUGGGCCUGCACUGGCGCUCAUGCACGAAAGCGUGGGGAGCAAACA